GCUGGCGGCGUGCUUAACACAUGCAAGUCUACGAGAACGAGGUAGCAAUAUCUUUAUUAAAGUGGCGCACGGGUGAGUAACACGUAAGUAACCUACCUUUAGAUUUGGAAUAACUCCGAGAAAUCGGGGCUAAUACCGAAUGAUGCAGCGGCACCACAUGGUGAUGUUGUUAAAGUCUAUAUGACGUCUAAAGAUGGGCUUGCGUCUGAUUAGCUUGUUGGUGAGGUAACGGCUCACCAAGGCUACGAUCAGUAGCUGGUCUGAGAGGAUGAUCAGCCACACUGGAACUGAGACACGGUCCAGACUCCUACGGGAGGCAGCAGUGAGGAAUAUUGGGCAAUGCCCGAAAGGGUGACCCAGCAACGCCGCGUGGAGGAUGAAUGCCGUAAGGUUGUAAACUCCUGUUAGAGGGGAAGAAAAAUUCCGAUCAAAUCGGAAACUGACUGUACCCUCAGAGAAAGCCCCGGCUAACUACGUGCCAGCAGCCCGCGGUAAUACGUAGGGGGCAAGCGUUGUCCGGAUUUACUCGGUGUAAAGGGCGCGCAGGCGGGUUGGCAAGUCAGAGGUGAAAUCCUACAGCUUAACUGUAGAACUGCCUUUGAGACUGCUAAUCUUGAGUACGGAAGAGAGAGAUGGAAUUCCAGGUGUAGUGGUGAAAUACGUAGAUAUCUG
rnacentral:rRNA from 1 species